UGUCACAUAGGUAGCCAAACUCCAAAAUUCUU
rnacentral:piRNA from 1 species